GAUGAACGCUGGCGGCGUGCCUAAUACAUGCAAGUCGAGCGAACAGACGAGGAGCUUGCUCCUUCGACGUUAGCGGCGGACGGGUGAGUAACACGUAGGUAACCUACCUAUAAGACUGGGAUAACUUCGGGAAACCGGAGCUAAUACCGGAUAAUAUUUCGAACCGCAUGGUUCGAUAGUGAAAGAUGGCUUUGCUAUCACUUAUAGAUGGACCUGCGCCGUAUUAGCUAGUUGGUAAGGUAACGGCUUACCAAGGCAACGAUACGUAGCCGACCUGAGAGGGUGAUCGGCCACACUGGAACUGAGACACGGUCCAGACUCCUACGGGAGGCAGCAGUAGGGAAUCUUCCGCAAUGGGCGAAAGCCUGACGGAGCAACGCCGCGUGAGUGAUGAAGGUCUUCGGAUCGUAAAACUCUGUUAUUAGGGAAGAACAAACGUGUAAGUAACUGUGCACGUCUUGACGAUACCUAAUCAGAAAGCCACGGCUAACUACGUG
rnacentral:rRNA from 1 species